rnacentral:rRNA from 1 species
AGAGUUUGAUCAUGGCUCAGGACGAACGCUGGCGGCACGCUUAACACAUGCAAGUCGAACGAGAGAAGAGAAGCUUGCUUUUCUGAUCUAGUGGCGGACGGGUGAGUAACACGUGAGCAAUCUGCCUUUCAGAGGGGGAUACCGAUUGGAAACGAUCGUUAAUACCGCAUAACAUAAUUGAACCGCAUGAUUUGAUUAUCAAAGAUUUAUCGCUGAAAGAUGAGCUCGCGUCUGAUUAGCUAGUUGGUAAGGUAACGGNUUACCAAGGCGACGAUCAGUAGCCGGACUGAGAGGUUGAUCGGCCACAUUGGGACUGAGACACGGCCCAGGACUCCUACGGGAGGCCA